rnacentral:rRNA from 2 species
ACCCGCUGAAUUUAAGCAUAUCAAUAAGCGGAGGAGAAGAAACUAACCAGGAUUCCCCCAGUAGCGGCGAGUGAAGCGGGAAGAGCCCAAGCCUCUAAUCUCCGUCCGGCGGCGAAUUGUAGUCUGGAGACGGGUCAUCGUCCUCCCGAAGUCGUCGUGGAAAGGCGCGCCGGAGAGGGUGAGAGCCCCUAGAGUCGGGUUGUUUGGGAAUGCAGCCCAAAGCGGGUGGUAAACUCCAUCCAAGGCUAAGUACGGGCACGAGACCGAUAGCGAACAAGUACCGUGAGGGAAAGAUGAAAAGCACUUUGAAAAGAGAGUCAAAUAGUGCGUGAAACCGUUAGGAGGGAAACGAAU